rnacentral:rRNA from 1 species
AUGAACGCUAGCUACAGGCUUAACACAUGCAAGUCGAGGGGCAGCAUUUUAGUUUGCUUGCAAACUAAAGAUGGCGACCGGCGCACGGGUGAGUAACACGUAUCCAACCUGCCGAUAACUCGGGGAUAGCCUUUCGAAAGAAAGAUUAAUAUCCGAUGGUAUAUUAAAACCGCAUGGUUUUACUAUUAAAGAAUUUCGGUUAUCGAUGGGGAUGCGUUCCAUUAGUUUGUUGGCGGGGUAACGGCCCACCAAGACUACGAUGGAUAGGGGUUCUGAGAGGAAGGUCCCCCACAUUGGAACUGAGACACGGUCCAAACUCCUACGGGAGGCAGCAGUGAGGAAUAUUGGUCAAUGGACGAGAGUCUGAACCAGCCAAGUAGCGUGAAGGAUGACUGCCCUAUGGGUUGUAAACUUCUUUUAUAUGGGAAUAAAGUAUUCCACGUGUGGGAUUUUGUAUGUACCAUAUGAAUAAGGAUCGGCUAACUCCGUGCCAGCAGCCGCGGUAAUACGGAGGAUCCGAGCGUUAUCCGGAUUUAUUGGGUUUAAAGGGAGCGUAGGUGGAUUGUUAAGUCAGUUGUGAAAGUUUGCGGCUCAACCGUAAAAUUGCAGUUGAAACUGGCAGUCUUGAGUACAGUAGAGGUGGGCGGAAUUCGUGGUGUAGCGGUGAAAUGCUUAGAUAUCACGAAGAACUCCGAUUGCGAAGGCAGCUCACUAGACUGCAACUGACACUGAUGCUCGAAAGUGUGGGUAUCAAACAGGAUUAGAUACCCUGGUAGUCCACACAGUAAACGAUGAAUACUCGCUGUUUGCGAUAUACAGUAAGCGGCCAAGCGAAAGCAUUAAGUAUUCCACCUGGGGAGUACGCCGGCAACGGUGAAACUCAAAGGAAUUGACGGGGGCCCGCACAAGCGGUGGAGUAUGUGGUUUAAUUCGACGCAACGCGAAGAACCUUACCAGGUCUUGACAUUGAUCGCGAUCUGCAGAAAUGCGGAGUUCUUCUUCGGAAGACGAGAAAACAGGUGGUGCACGGCUGUCGUCAGCUCGUGUCGUGAGAUGUUGGGUUAAGUCCCGCAACGAGCGCAACCCCUGUCCUUAGUUGCCAGCAUGUAGAGAUGGGAACUCUAAGGAGACUGCCGUAGAUAAUACGGAGGAAGGUGGGGAUGACGUCAAAUCAGCACGGCCCUUACGUCCGGGGCUACACACGUGUUACAAUGGGGGGUACAGAAGGCAGCUACCUGGUGACAGGAUGCUAAUCCCAAAAACCUCUCUCAGUUCGGAUCGAAGUCUGCAACCCGACUUCGUGAAGCUGGAUUCGCUAGUAAUCGCGCAUCAGCCAUGGCGCGGUGAAUACGUUCCCGGGCCUUGUACACACCGCCCGUCAAGCCAUGAAAGCCGGGGGUACCUGAAGUACGUAACCGCAAGGAGCGUCCUAGGGUAAAACUGGUAAUUGGGGCU